rnacentral:rRNA from 1 species
CUUGUACACACCGCCCGUCACACCAUGGGAGUGGGUUUCACCAGAAGUAGUUAGCCUAACCGCAAGGGGGGCGACUACCACGGUGAGAUUCAUGACUGGGGUGAAGUCGUAACAAGGUACCC